rnacentral:rRNA from 1 species
GAUGAACGCUGGCGGCGUGCCUAAUACAUGCCAGUCGAGCGAACAGACGAGGAGCUUGCUCCUCUGACGUUAGCGGCGGACGGGUGAGUAACACGUGGAUAACCUACCUAUAAGACUGGGAUAACUUCGGGAAACCGGAGCUAAUACCGGAUAAUAUAUUGAACCGCAUGGUUCAAUAGUGAAAGACGGUUUUGCUGUCACUUAUAGAUGGAUCCGCGCCGCAUUAGCUAGUUGGUAAGGUAACGGCUUACCAAGGCGACGAUGCGUAGCCGACCUGAGAGGGGGAUAGGCAACAUGGGAGAGGAAACGGGGCCAAGACUCAGGGGGGAGGCGAAAGAAGGAAAUGGCCGGAAAUGGGGGAAAGCAUGAAGAAACAGGGCCGCGGGGGAGAGAAAGGUGUUGGGAUAGAAAAACUUUUUUUUGGGGGAAAAAAAGAUGUGAAAGUAAAUGUACAGGUUGUGACGGUAAUAAAUAAAAAAGCAACGGCAAACUACGUG